rnacentral:tRNA from 1 species
CACCACCUGGCCUGGUCCUUCCGCCAGGGCGGCAACAUCCCGCCGAUCUGGGCCCGCGCCAACGGCCGCGCGACUCGGCUGGUGGCGA